AAAGCCAUUUGAAUAUACUGAUGCCACUUGGUUCAGGCAUAUUUGAGAAGUGUUAUUUGACACACAUAGAUCUUAUGGUCAGCAAAAGAGUCCAAAGUCUUGCAGAAACUGAAACUAGUGUGGAAAUGACGGCUGUUGUAGAAAGGCAUGUAUGUAAAUGAAAGCCACAAUAUAACAAAUGCUGAGGAGAUGCAUGAGGCCCUAGUUUCUGCAGUUGGAGCCAUUUUCUACAUCCAGCUAGACAGACAUCUUCCAAACCUGCAUGGACUGGAGUGUCCAAUUACAACAAUUUAGCUUUCUUGAUUCCUACAACAUGAGAAAAGGUGUCUCCCUUCCUUGAGCAGUUUUAAAAUGAGUGAUACUGAUGUUAAAGUUAAUUUGGGUUUUUCUGAGGCAAAUGUGCCAACUGGGACUAUACCAAGCAAGAUCACAAACAGGGAAAUAUUUUCUUGUCCAGAGAAGUUUUCUCUGAAAUCUUUUGCUACUAAGACUGAAGAGUAUUUGUAAGGUCCUUUUUUAGACCACAGUUAUGAAAUGUGCC